GGGAGUAGUGGCCCAGUGGUUAAGGCUUUGGGCUUCUGACCAUAAGGUUGUGAGUUUGAAUCUCAGUGCUGCCA